AGGGGAGCCUCCCACCUGCUUACCUGGCCAAUUGUUCGAUUACCUCUUAUGAAGAGCUCAAGUUGCAAACGCUAAGACCUGAUUAACCAAUAUUAAGUCAAUAGGUCUUCCACUGUAGUAGAGCUAAGGUCUUUCUGAUGUUGAUUUGUCUCGGCUGGAUACAGUGGGCAAGUUGCAUUGGGGGGCUGGACCACUCUAUAGACAUGAGAUGUUGUAGGGUAAAGGUGGGGUUGGGCACCAAUAACUGUUAGGUGAGGACCCAAUGACGACUUUAUUUCUACGGUUAUACGGUGGGUCUGACUUAACUAAGAAAUGGGACC
rnacentral:lncRNA from 1 species